UAGCUCAGUUGGUAGAGUGCACCCUUGGUAAGGGUGAGGUCGGCGGUUCAAAUCC
rnacentral:rRNA from 1 species